UUUCCGUAGGUGAACCUGCGGAAGGAUCAUCAUAGGAAAAAAAAAUUCUUUUUUUUUCUAUAGACUUACACCCCUUUGUGCUCUUUUUCGAGGUCUGAAAAGGCCUCGUUUAACUUUUUUUUUACAAAACAACCUUUUAUACCUAUUUACCAUAAUACACCUUUAUAAAUAACCAAAAGACAACUUUUAACAACGGAUCUCUUGGCUCUC
rnacentral:misc_RNA from 1 species